rnacentral:lncRNA from 1 species
UUCCUUAUCCAGGGACUUUCAAAGACUUAAAAGUGCGUCUUAGAAAGCAAUGAGGAGGAUGAACUGGAACAAAGAGAGACUGGAAGUAGGAAAGGUGAUUAGACAGCAAUCAAGAGUGACCACAUAAAAAAUUAUAAAGACUUGAGGUAAGGUAAUAACCAUAAGGACAGAUGGAAGAGGACGAUGGAAAAAAUAAUAGGUAACAAUGAACAAGGACUAAUGCUGCUUGG